rnacentral:rRNA from 1 species
UGGGGAAUAUUGCACAAUGGGCGCAAGCCUGAUGCAGCCAUGCCGCGUGUGUGAAGAAGGCCUUCGGGUUGUAAAGCACUUUCAGCGGGGAGGAAGGCGUUAAGGUUAAUAACCUUGGCGAUUGACGUUACCCGCAGAAGAAGCACCGGCUAACUCCGUGCCAGCAGCCGCGGUAAUACGGAGGGUGCAAGCGUUAAUCGGAAUUACUGGGCGUAAAGCGCACGCAGGCGGUUUGUUAAGUCAGAUGUGAAAUCCCCGGGCUCAACCUGGGAACUGCAUCUGAUACUGGCAAGCGUGGGGCUCGUAGAGGAGGGUAGAAUUCCAGGUGUAGCGGUGAAAUGCGUAGAGAUCUGGAGGAAUACCGGUGGCGAAGGCGGCCCCCUGGACGAAGACUGACGCUCAGGUGCGAAAGCGUGGGGAGCAAACAGG